UACGUAGGCAGCAAGCGUUGUUCGGAAUUACUGGGCGUAAAGAGUGUGUAGGCGGUGCUCUAAGUUCGGUGUGAAAUCUCCCGGCUUAACUGGGAGGGUGCGCCGGAAACUGGAGGGCUUGAGUGUGGGAGAGGGAUGCGGAAUUCCAGGUGUAGCGAUGGAAUGACGUAGAUAUCUGGAGGAACACCGGUGGCGAAGGCGGCAUCCUGGACCAUGACUGACGCUGAGGAGCGGAAAGCCAGGGGAGGCAAACGGG
rnacentral:rRNA from 1 species